rnacentral:misc_RNA from 1 species
GAUGAAGAACGCAGCGAAAUGCGAUACUUGGUGUGAAUUGCAGAAUCCCGUGAACCAUCGAGUCUUUGAACGCAAGUUGCGCCCGAAGCCAUCAGGUUGAGGGCACGUCUGCCUGGGCGUCACAUAUCGUUGCCCAAUGCCUAUUGCAGUGCAAUAGGAAUUUCUAGGGCGAAUGAUGGCUUCCCGUGAGCGUUGUUGCCUCGCGGUUGGUUGAAAAUCGAGUCCUUGGUAGGGUGUGCCAUGGUAGAUGGUGGUCGAGUUAGAACGAUACCGAUCAUGUGCAUGCUCCCCAAAAUAUGGCCUCUAUGACCCACACGCGUCUUUUGACGCUCAUGACGAGACCUCAGGUCAGGCGGGGCUACCCGCUGAAUUUAAGCAUCUCAAUAAGCGGAGGA